UUAAAUUCAUUUAUAUAUUUAUUAAACAUUUUUAAAAUCUAUAAAACUUUUUUUAAGAUUAAAAAUCAUUUAUAUAAUAUUUAAAAACAUUUUUUUUGUAUUUUAUAUGUAAAAUAUAAAUUUCUAUAUUUAUAUAAAAACAUUUUUAAAAUUUUUAAACUAUUUUUAUUUAUUAAAACUAUUUUUUAUUAUUAUUAAACUAUUUAUAUUUUUUGUGAUUAAAAACUAUUUUUUUAAACUAUUUUUUAUUUAAACUGUUUUUUUAAUUAAAAUUAUUAGAACUAAUUUUUAAAUAUGUUUUUUUUUUAAUUUACAGGUCUAAUGAUGAUCAGAUCCGGCCUCGCCAGCGUCGUAGCCGGGGUGGUAUGGGGAGCCAGUCUCGGGGUUCUUCCAGCCAUGUUCAGGAUUCCGUUUCGCCCCACAGCUCAUACCAACAUCUCCCUCUCCAUUACUCGCUCCUGCUGCUCCCGCUCCCGCUGCUGCACCCGCUCCUGGUCCCGCUGCUGCACCCGGUCCUCUGGGAGUGAUGAGGGUUGCGGAGUUGGUUCGACAGCCCGGUCGUGACCAUCUUCCCUAUCUCACUGAGUAUCCACAUGGACAUGGUCAAACAUGGUAAUUUAAACUUUUAUUUUUUAAACUAUUUUUUAUUUAAACUAUUUUUUAUUAAUAAUUUAUUUUUUUUGUUAGGUUCAACCGAUCCGGGAACGGGAUCAGCGCAUGGAUCAACCGUAUGAUGUACUCGGCCCUCGACAGCGGACAUCCGACUUUCACUCACUUCCCUGUCGAGAAGCAGCAUCUGUGGUUUCAGCAGUUUGCGGUAAGUAUUCUAAUUUUUAAAUUAUAUUUUUUAUAUUAUUAAAACUAUUUUUUGUAAUUAUUAAACUAUUUUCUAUAUUUAUUAGACAUUUUAAAUAUUAUUAAAACUUAUUUUUGUAAUUAUUAAACUAAUUUAUAUAUUUAUUAGACAUUUUAAAUAUUAUUAAAACUUAUUUUUGUAAUUAUUAAAUUAUUUUUUUAAUUAUUAAACUAUUUUUUAUUUAUUAAAACGACGAUUUUUGUAAUUAUUAAACUAUUAUAUUUUUGUGCUUAAAAACUAUUUUUAAACUAUUUC
rnacentral:lncRNA from 1 species